UGUGGCGUUCCAAGCAAUUAAAACAAAGUGACGCUACGUAAGCAGUCUGGAUCACGCGACUGCCUGUUCCAUCAGGAAGUUACUCUUGACAAAUUAUCUUUCAAGCUACUGCGUUUUUCAAGCGUUUAAAGUUCAUUUUUAUAUCGUAAAGUAGAACAUCUUCGAAUCAAAGUCAUAGUCGUUCGUUUAUUGUGUAAAAUCACGACCUUGGUGAUGUUUGUAAGUUGAUCGAAACACUUCAGACCCGCUUCAGUCAAGCAAAGAGAAGCAGAUUCUCGCCAAACAUGACUUUAUACUGAAGUUUUAUACUGAAGGUUAGUAUAGCAGUUUCAUCAUAAUAACCAUAACUGAUGAUCAAAAAGCAUACUGUACGUGUGGUAGUAAUAAGAGUCUAACUUGAGAACUAUUCUUGAGGUUAUUCAGCUUACAGAAAAUUGAAAUCAAUUUAUCAUCAUACCCAUCAAAGUCCCCAACAAGACCAGAAAUCUUCUAGCUGAUUUUAUAGGAGUCCACUGUAUUUUAUGUAAAAGAUGUAAGACUGAAGUAAAAACCAUCAGAUGAAAGCCUCAAUGAUAAGCAUUUAGGAUGGCCAUGGCAAGUCCUGAUAAGUUUACUGAAGAACAAUUGAACUAUUUUCGCAUCUGUCACGUGACAGCUCGACUCGUUCCUGAUGGCCUCCGUCAAGUGUUCAAAAAAGAGUGGGACGCUCGUUAYAAGACAUCGCAUGGUGAAUGGAACGACACUGCGAAAAAUGGAAUUGAUUUCUACAGCUUGAUACCAGCARCAGAGCAAACAUCGAAAGCGAAAGAACUUUCUAUCAUUAGAAAUGGCAACACAAUGGAAUGGGACUGCACUUGUCUUUUUUACGCAAUCCUUUACUCCAAGUGUAUUGGAAAGAAUAAACUUGACCCAAAGGUAAAGAAAACUGUUGAUGACCUGAGAAAGUAUCGCAACAAAUUCGCUCACUCCCACGAAGACACGAGCACUGAUGCAGAUUUCCAGGCUUCCAUGCAAGAU